AGAAAACCGUAGAGAAAGAGUAGUAGGCAAGAUAAGAAUGAUUUAAAGAGAGCUAUAGGCGGUGUGAUUAUAGCAUGAUUUCCUUGUUGAAUGGACUUUUGAGGGUGACUUUGAACUGUAGUAGGGGUCAUCGGGUUCCCGACCCGUUAUCAGACCGGGCGCAUAUGAUGGUAUGUGUAUGAGAGUGGACUUUUAUGUCAAUUUGAGUGGUACCGCGGAUAAUUUCGCCUCAAGC
rnacentral:ncRNA from 1 species